UGAUUUCCAGCAAGUUAUUUGCUCCUUAUGCAACUUCAAACAUUGGGCAGCUCAUAUUCAAGGACAACUUUUUGUGGCUGCAUUUAGGUGGUGGAAAUGCAAAUAAUGUAAUUCUUUAAAAUCAAUAAACAAACUAAUAAAUACUAAUUUAUUUCUACAAUAACAAAUUUAUAUAGAUAUAACUUACUUGCAUUUAGGGUGUGUUUGAAUUUUUGAAAAGUUGCUACAAUUUUUUUUUAAUAUUUUUCGUGAACAUAUUUUCAAAUCAUGUUUUUAUUUUACAUAUAUCAAAUCAUUAUAAUAAUUUUUUUUACAAAAAAUUCGAAAAAAUACAAUCCAAACGAAGUCUAAAAUUUUCAAUUGUGGAUUAAUACUUUAAUUAACAAGUAGUGGAAACUGGUAACAGAAGGGGUUCUUAUUUAAGUUGCGGGAAUUAUAUAGAUUGUGCUUUUUUGUUCUGGGAAAACAAACGAGUCGAUUUCCGUUAAACAGAAGACUUCUGAUUUUUGUAGCAUAAUAGAAAGAAUCUUUUAAACUCAACAAGUAAGAUAAUAAGAAACUAGGGAAAUGAAAAACUAACUCGGGGUAAGAGUUAGUAUGGGCAAUUACCCUUUGAAGCAAACUUCUCAAUUUGAACCUUGACAUAUUCCUUCACACAAAAAAAAAAAGAAGUUUCACAUAUUCCUUUCAAGUCUCUCAAUCUUAUUAAAAAUAUCCUUCUUUAUACAAGAUGAAAUCGAAGUGAAUACAAAGUAUAACAACAACCAAUUAAGUUAGGAAUUCCUUUUUUUUAUUUUCAAGUCUUGAUUCGGUAAAGCUAAAAGGAUUUGUAUAGUAGCGUACUCGUCUAUUAGGAGUUCCGGAUCACCAAAAAUACUCAUCUAAUAGGAUGAUACGCCUCCAAGAGUAGUUUAGCAAUAAAAUAAGCUCUCGAAUUGAAUGAUGUCUUGGGUUCAAAUUUUUCUCUAGACUUGAACCUCCUAUCUAACAUGGGUGCGUUAUGGAGGGCUGCGGCGUACACACACCAAAAUGGCAACGAACCAUCUAAACAGCAUGAACUACUAGCUGCCAGGUUAAGAGAACUACCAAAAAGGAACUACCAACAGUAAUGAAGAUUGUCUUUAAUUUUUCUAAUUCCUGGAAUAAUUUGUUGUGUUAAAUAAAACUGCAUAAGAUAGCAUCAAAAUUAUUCUCUAGAUGACCAACUUAAGAACAUAACUGAAUAUUCUCAUUAAUCUUAUUAAUAUACUAGCUAGGUAACACUUAAUAAUCCAACUGAAAUCAGUGCAUUUUCACAUCAAAGAAAAACCCACAAACAUGUUUAGAGCCAAUGUCAAGAAACUUACCAAUUCUUGGAGCUGUAGCGCCAACUGCCGAAUCACUUGUUGAAGGAAUCGAGCUGCCCUCCAUUUCCUCAAAGGUCCAAUGCAGCAAUGGAGAGCGAAUGAGAUACGCAAAUGGAAUAUAUUGAAUC
rnacentral:lncRNA from 1 species